GACAGAGGGGGCGAGCGUUGUCCGGAGUCACUGGGCGUAAAGCGCGCGCAGGCGGUCGGCAAAGUGUCGUGUGAAAGCCCCCGGCUCAACCGGGGGAGGCCAUGGCAAAUUCGGCGACUGGAGCUGCGGAGAGGCCCCUCGAAUUGCCGGUGUAGCGGUGAAAUGCGUAGAGAUCGGCAGGAAGACCAAGGGGGAAGCAAGGGGGCGGGCCGCAUGAUGACGUUGAGGCGCGACAGCGUGGGGAGCAAACCGG
rnacentral:rRNA from 1 species